rnacentral:rRNA from 1 species
AUGAUUAGUUCUCUAUCCAUUGCUAGCUGGAAUGUGCGGGGGUUGAAUAAUAGGGCGAGGCGGGCUGCGGUACGCGCCUUACUUGAUCAGCUCUCUUGCUCGAUCGUCUGUCUGCAGGAAUCAAAGCUUGACCAGGCUGCUGAUGCUGACAUCACUGAAAUAGCCGGGCCUGUGUUUGAUAAGCAUGUCAUGCUUCCAGCCGACGUCACUCGUGGUGGAGUGCUGCUCUGUUGGCGCUCGGACCGCUUCUGUGUGUCUGCUGCCGAUGUGCGCAGGUUCUCGAUAACAGCCACGUUCACUCCAACUGGAGCCCAGGGACAUACGGCGUCUUGGACGCUAACCACGGUUUACGGCCCUCACGACUACGAGCGAAAGCAAGCUUUCUUGAAUGAGCUUGCCGAUAUUCAUAACACCGUGCAGUGGCCAUGGUUAAUUAUUGGGGAUUUCGAUCUGAUCAUGGAUCCAAGAGAUAAAAAUAACAACCGAGUCUGUCGUCGAUGGAUGAACAAGUUUCGUUGA